rnacentral:lncRNA from 1 species
UUCAAUAAUGUUACCUUGUACUUAUAAUAACAUCUUGUCACAUUUAUUGUUGUUGCCAUGUAUGAACACUGACACAAUUUUCCUAGAAAAAUCUCAUAAAGUAUGAACAAUGUUUUGUUUUAUCCAGAUUCCAAGACUUUGGAAUGGAAAGAAGUAGAGGACUGUCAUAAAAACAUGAUCCAGUUAGAGAAUAUGUGUAUGACCUGAACAAGAAAGUUUUAAUUCUGAAGAGACAACAACAAUGUAUGUGUUUGGUAUCAGAAUUUGGAGUAGAGUUUCCAUCCGAUUUUGGACAGUGUCGUGGAAUUAGUGUUAGUAUAUUUCAAUAUAUGACUUUCCAAUUAUAAUAUAUAGUCCUAGUAUAUAUUUUUAGUAUAGUAAGUAAUUUUGUGUCUUGAGCAAAGGCUAUAUGGUAUGGGGUGUAUUGCCUUGC